rnacentral:rRNA from 1 species
UCNUCUGGCUUAACUGGGGGCUUGCGGUGGGUACGGGCCGGCUUGAGUGCGGUAGGGGAGGCUGGAACUCCUGGUGUAGCGGUGGAAUGCGCAGAUAUCAGGAAGAACACCGGUGGCGAAGGCGGGUCUCUGGGCCGUUACUGACGCUGAGGAGCGAAAGCGUGGGGAGCGAACAGGAUUAGAUACCCUGGUAGUCCACGCCGUAAACGUUGGGCACUAGGUGUGGGGGGCCUUUUCCGGGUUUUCCGCGCCGUAGCUAACGCAUUAAGUGCCCCGCCUGGGGAGUACGGCCGCAAGGCUAAAACUCAAAGGAAUUGACGGGGGCCCGCACAAGCGGCGGAGCAUGCGGAUUAAUUCGAUGCAACGCGAAGAACCUUACCAAGGCUUGACAUGUGCCGGUCGGCUCCGGAGACGGGGUUUCCUCCUUGUGGGGCCGGUUCACAGGUGGUGCAUGGUUGUCGUCAGCUCGUGUCGUGAGAUGUUGGGUUAAGUCCCGCAACGAGCGCAACCCUUGUCUCGUGUUGCCAGCACGUUGUGGUGGGGACUCGCGGGAGACUGCCGGGGUCAACUCGGAGGAAGGUGGGGAUGACGUCAAAUCAUCAUGCCCCUUAUGUCUUGGGCUUCACGCAUGCUACAAUGGCCGGUACAGAGGGUUGCGAUACUGUGAGGUGGAGCGAAUCCCUUAAAGCCGGUCUCAGUUCGGAUCGGUGUCUGCAACUCGACACCGUGAAGUUGGAGUCGCUAGUAAUCGCAGAUCAGCAACGCUGCGGUGAAUACGUUCUCGGGCCUUGUACACACCGCCCGUCACGUCAUGAAAGUCGGCAACACCCGAAGCCCGUGGCCUUAUGG